rnacentral:rRNA from 1 species
GAAUCCCGUCUUUGACACGGAUUGCCAGGGCUUUUGUGAUGCGCUCUCAAAGAGUCGAGUUGUUUGGGAAUGCAGCUCAAAAUGGGUGGUAAAUUCCAUCUAAAGCUAAAUAUUGGCGAGAGACCGAUAGCGAACAAGUACCGUGAGGGAAAGAUGAAAAGAACUUUGGAAAGAGAGUUAAACAGUACGUGAAAUUGCUGAAAGGGAAACGCUUGAAGUCAGUCGUGUUGGCCGGGGAUCAACCUUGCUUUUGCUGGGCGUACUUUCCGGUCAAUGGGUCAGCAUCAAUUUUGACCGUUGGAUAAAGUCUAGGGGAAUGUAGCAUCUUCGGAUGUGUUAUAGCCUUUGGUUGCAUACAACGAUUGGGAUUGAGGAACUCAGCACGCCGCAAGGCCGGGUACUUGUACCACGUUCGUGCUUAGGAUGCUGGCAUAAUGGCUUUAAUCGACCCGUCUUGAAACACGGACCAAGGAGUCUAACAUGCCUGCGAGUGUUUGGGUGGAAAACCCGGACGCGUAAUGAAAGUGAAAGUUGAGAUCCCUGUCGUGGGGAGCAUCGACGCCCGGACCAGACCUUCUGUGACGGAUCCGCGGUAGAGCAUGUAUGUUGGGACCCGAAAGAUGGUGAACUAUGCCUGAAUAGGGUGAAGCCAGAGGAAACUCUGGUGGAGGCUCGUAGCGAUUCUGACGUGCAAAUCGAUCGUCAAAUUUGGGUAUAGGGGCGAAAGACUAAUCGAACCAUCUAGUAGC